rnacentral:rRNA from 1 species
GGCGAACGUUGGCGGCGUGCUUAAUACAUGCAAGUCAACUGAAGCAGUGGUAGCAAUAUCGCUGUGGAGGUGGCGCACGGGUGAGUAACACGUAGGUAAUCUGCCUUCAGGUCUGGCAUAACUCCGGGAAACCGGGGCUAAUAGCAGAUGAUGCAGCGGCUCGACAUCGAGACAGUUGUUAAAGCUAUGGCGCCUGAAGAUGAGCCUGCGUCUGAUUAGCUAGUUGGCGGGGUAACGGCCCACCAAGGCAACGAUCAGUAGCUGGUCUGAGAGGAUGAUCAGCAACACUGGAACGGAGACACGGUCCAGACUACUACGGGAGGCAGCAGUAAGGAAUAUUGCUCAAUGGGAGAAAUCCUGAAGCAGCAACGCCGCGUGAGGGACGAAGGGCUUUUGCUUGUAAACCUCUGUAGUGAGAGAAAAAAAUCCCAAUCUUUGGGACAUGAUGGUAUCUCAAAAGUAAGCCCCGGCUAACUACGUG